UACGGGGGGGGCAAACGUUAUUCGGAAUCACUGGGCUUAAAGAGUCCGUAGGCGGCAUGUUAGGUGAGGUGUGAAAUCCCCCGGCUCAACCGAGGAACUGCGCCCAAAACUACCGUGCUCGAGGGAGAUAGAGGUGAGCGGAACUUAGGGUGGAGCGGUGAAAUGCGUUGAUAUCCUAAGGAACACCGGUGGCGAAAGCGGCUCACUGGAUCUUUUCUGACGCUGAGGCACGAAAGCUAGGGUAGCGAACGGG
rnacentral:rRNA from 1 species